AGGGGUAUGGUUCAGUGGCAGAGCGCAUGCUUAGCAUGCCCGAGGUCCUGGGUUCAGUCCCCAGUACCUCCA
rnacentral:tRNA from 1 species